CCAGAGUGCACGCAUCAAUAGCUAUAUCGUGAUAAUCCAAACAAAGUAGGUCUCAUGUCAAACACGAUCUCGAGAUAUGAUGUUCGGAACUCUACAUGUGCACCGAAUGUCGCUAGGUGCGGCCAUCGUUGCUGUAAAAUGGCCGCGGGAAUUUGAUUGAUCAGUACACGUGCUUUUAAUUUUAUGUUAAAAUUGAGGCGCUGGAUAAUAGAUUAGACAUUAAAAAUUAAUAUGAGAACUAGUUUUUUUUUGUGUUCGAACUUGGAUUAUUAGGACUUGCUAAUGAAAAAAGGUAAAAAGGGAGCUGAAGUUAAAUAUUUAAAGCAAAUUGACAUCUGAAAGACAGUAUUUAUCGAAGAGGUAAUUAUCGAACAGGUAUUUAUCAGAGAGGUAAUUACCUUAUAGAAGUACAUCUAUGUGUAUGUACACACCAUAGGAGCUAAAAUUGCGAGGACCAUAAUCAUUGCCGUGUUUUUUUAAUAACGGUACACCGUGUUUAAAAGUCUGCGAGAUGGAAAUAGAAAGUGCAGCAGGCAUUACGUCGGUAAAGGAUACUUUUUGUUUAACGCCUCGUACACCUACUAUUUAAUUAUAUAAGACAGUUAUAAGCAUAUGCAUUGGCGCGAUCGAUAGGUAAGUAUAAUGUAGUUUUCCGCGAAGAAAGUGACCGUUCGAAACAAAAACGCUAACCGGCCAGACGUGAAAAUCGCCGGACAGAUUCUUUUUAUAAUGUAAGAUGCGAGUUUAUCGUUCGAGGAAGCUAAGAAAGUGGUCACCCGUUAAAUCAUUUUCUCACGUAACACAUAAGAAUAUAAUAUGUCAGCCAAGGUCUUACGGAAUUCUGAUCAUCUUCGAUUCAAUACAGAAUCCAGGGAAAAUGAGAAUUGUUUGUUUUGCUUUAUUUAUUAAUUAGAAGAUCCGAUGGUUCUCGCCAUGUCCCACUUUACGCCACUUUCACUCUUCAGCAGUUACGUUAUUGCUCAUGAGCACACCGCUCUUCGGGAACUAUAUGCCUACAACGAGCACAACCGCAAAAGGCGAAUCGUAUCAUCUGCCACUCUAUAUCUCGGACUUUCAUGAGAACAUGACGGCUGAGAUUCCUGCAAUCCUCUAUUAAAUACUGUUUCACAAUUGUGCUGUUGCAAUUAUUGCUAAACUCUGUAAUAAACCUGCCUUUUUACGCUCAUCUCGUUUAUUCAUUCUUGCUUGUUUUUUUAAACAUUAUAGUUAACUUCAUUGAGCUAGAUUUUGCUGGGUUCAAAUUUAGGCCCGUAGUCUUUUUGUUGAAAGGAAUGUUCUUGUGGAUUUAUUGUGACAUGUGACAUUUUUCCAUUCAUGUAAUGGAAAUAUAGAUGGAGGUAGAAGAAUGUAGCAGAGUAACCGAGGAGUCUAGAAACAUAAAAAUACAUGUAUCACAUUGGGGAUAUUGGUUUGUGGAAAAUUUGAAAGUUUCUGGAAUGUGAUGAUACCUCACCAUAAAGCAGCUUGAUAACUUGAAGAUAUAGUGAUAUACAAACAUAAAGAAGUUCAAAAAAUUCAUAAAUGCAAGUGUAUGCAGAUAUUUUCCCAAAAUCGAAAGCAAACAGUGAAACUCUACUGAUGUAUAUACAUCAUAACAAAUUCCCAGAUCAGUGUAUUUAUAAAACCAUCGAUCUCCCUUAAAUCAAUGUACCAUUUGAUCAGAUGUCUUAAUACAGUUGACCAUUCGAUUCUUUGUUCAUCCUGUUCGAUCUUACUUGGACCUCUUACGCCAACGUAAGUGAAAGUUUCCAAGUAGGACGAGUGAGACGUCGAAUCUCGACUUGGAUAUUUGCUAAAUGCUCAUCCGUGCUGGUCAUCAUGGACCAUCGAAAUCAAAUGUCAAUGUACGUGUCAAUUUCAAAAUCGUUUGACAAACUUUCGAUCGGGAAGUGAAAUUUCUUCGCGGUUGCGGUUCAAGAGUGAAUCUGUCGGAGGAUCAGGAAGACCGCAGGAAAUCGUUCCGGACUUGUCUCCGUUACUCGAUAGAUCAAUGCAGAACGCGUGUUAUGCAACGAUCUGAACGCGAUUUACGGAAAAUAGUGCACUCGGUCUUUUCACGCGGGACGAACUUGUUUGGAAAAUCUCGGGCUAUUUUUGUCAUAUUAUUGAAAGGAACGGUCGUAUUGAACCUUCGUUUGUAAAGGGUCUUUUAUUAUCAUGUAAAUUCCGUGGUACUCAGUUAAUUAUGCAGAUACAUUAAAUUGAAAGAUACGCAAGAAUUAUCCGAAUUAAAAUAUGUUUAUAACAAUGUAAGCUGAACAGGAAAUUAAGCUGAUAAAGUUUAUCAGUAUCGAUAGACCCAUAAACGAACAGAAUGUAUUCAUAUAUUUACAUAUGUUAUUAAUGAUAAUAGACAUAUGGUAUAAUGCAAAUAAUUGCAUGGAAAUAAUUGUUAAAUAGAUGUCUUGUCAAUCGAUAUUGAAGUCUAAUUAAUUAAUAAUUUACCUUCAGUAUUUUAGUUUAACAAAAUUAUACAAAUAAAUAUGCAUUUUUAAUAAAGUCUCGAAGUAAAAAUACUUGCUAUUAGUUGUCAUUUCAAUAAUCAAUAAAAAUCAAUAAGUUUCCAAAAAUGAGAGACAUGUAAGUGUUAAGAGAUAAAGUACCCAAAAUUGUUUGAUCAACGAUAUUUUCGUUAACACAUUCAGGAAAAAGUACAAACAAGCUUCUCUCAGUUUGUACAAAAUCUCGAAUCGCAUAAUACGCGAAGAAAAGUGAUCGACAGCCUUCGCUUAUCGGAAAGAAAGAGAAGUCGUUAUAGACACGCAGGAAACGAUUCGUAAGAAAUCGUUCGCUCGGAACCGCUUGAAGGCUUUAGCGAAAGUAAUGAUAACUGCACGAUCACGCGACCGCGAGUUCACAAACAGAGACACACACGAAGACGAGGACGCGUUGCUAAGGUUCGAGGCGGUAGUCUUUCACCGAAUAAUUCGGUGUGAUGCCAGACGGCCUUCUCCUAGAAGAAAGGCAGGUUUCGGUUUCGAUAGGCCUUGGAGGUCACAAGGGAUCCGAUCGUCUUCCUUUCUUUUCCAUCGGGAGGAUUUGAAGAAAGUCGACAACGGCUUCCCCUUCCCGUGUCUCGGUACACGAAUCUUUUCUUUUUUCUUGCUUAUUUUUUAUUCGCAUCUCGGACCGCGUCUGUAUGUCCUGCACGCUGUUACUUUAACGCUGUGUUGCGCUAGCCGCGUACGUAGCCAGAGAAAGGUGCCCCACCGUAUUCGAUAUUAGAGAGGAGCUUCUUGAAGAGUCCAGUGGUGGUGGCAUCAGGUAGGGAGAAACGGGCCUCUGGGCCCAAUCUGUCCUCAGUUCCCAUACGAAGCUCCAUUCAAUAUCGUUCAGUACAUGCCCGGUCCUACGGAUAUCAUGUUGCCUAUCGCGAGUUAGCCGCUCCUGAUAAAGUUAGCACGUGAAUUCGGUGAAGUGUGACUGAACGUUCGUCAGAGGGGUCCACCGACUGGUCAUUUCUGACAUACACCAUGCGUUUCUUCGAGCUGGUAAUUAAAAGAUCGUUCGUUGCCUUUCGUCGCAGAAUCCCGAGAGAAACUCUCGGAUAAUAAGAUAAACGGUUCGUUUGCAAGAAUGUGUUCGCUUGUACUUUCAUCGUAAUAAGCAUGUCUGCUUCGCGGGAAACGUUCGACGCGGUUCUAUCAUUUGCAAUCAGUCAGCGUAUCGCCUUUGGCUACUUAGCGAGGGAAAGUAUAUCAGAUUAACAGAGCGUUUAUGUGCGUUUAGCUAAUCGUUAUCGUUGUUUGUACCGUCGCGCGGGUUCGGACGAUCCUCAAGAUCAACCGUGUCUUAAUUGAUAUGAGAAUCGUGUAAAAACGUGCGGCCGAACCGGGUUUUCUUUUCUGUUCGAAGAAUAUUAAGAGGUUUCCGCUUUAGGAGAGUCACCGAAUUCUCGAGGUGAAACGCGCACGUUGUGAAUCUAAAACCUAAAUUUUCUCUCCUUCUUUCUCCGUAACCAUGUGAAGCAAGCGGCAAGAAUUUCUGUUCUGUUCGCGCAAUUUAAACCCGAGAAACAUCCUAUAUCCGAUACGUGCUGUAACUCGGCCUCGCCAUAUCGGGAACACGAUCGCGGCUGGGAAUCGCUUAUCAGGGUAGCAGUAACUGUCCAUUCGGCGACGCUAGAAUACCAAUCGAUCGGCCACUUAAGGUCUUACAGGAUGUUUCUUCUCGUUUAUUAAUCGGGUCACUCGGUUAGCCACGCGAGACCACGAUGUUUCCACAAACGCGUUUCGCGUUCGAAUCGCAGAAAUUGCCGUCAGUUCCGAUGCGUGAA